rnacentral:rRNA from 1 species
CCUACGGGAGUCAGCAGUGAGGAAUAUAGGUCAAUGGACGAGAGUCUGAACCAGCCAAGUAGCGUGAAGGAUGACUGCCCUAUGGGUUGUAAACUUCUUUUAUAUGGGAAUAAAAUGUUCCACUUGUGGGAUUUUGUAUGUACCAUAUGAAUAAGGAUCGGCUAACUCCGUGCCAGCAGCCGCGGUAAUACGGAGGAUCCGAGCGUUAUCCGGAUUUAUUGGGUUUAAAGGGAGCGUAGGUGGAUUGUUAAGUCAGUUGUGAAAGUUUGCGGCUCAACCGUAAAAUUGCAGUUGAAACUGGCAGUCUUGAGUACAGUAGAGGUGGGCGGAAUUCGUGGUGUAGCGGUGAAAUGCUUAGAUAUCACGAAGAACUCCGAUUGCGAAGGCAGUUCACUGGACUGCAACUGACACUGAGGCUCGAAAGUGUGGGUAUCAAACAGGAUUAGAUACCCCUGUAGUC